GCUUCGGCAGUUCAGUGACAGAAUUCUCACCUUGCAUGUGGAAGACCCCGGUUCAAUUCCUGGCCAGUGCA
rnacentral:tRNA from 1 species